rnacentral:rRNA from 1 species
UACGUAGGGGGCAAGCGUUGUCCGGAAUUAUUGGGCGUAAAGAGCUCGUAGGCGGUUUGUCGCGUCUGCUGUGAAAACCCGAGGCUCAACCUCGGGCCUGCAGUGGGUACGGGCAGACUAGAGUGCGGUAGGGGAGAUUGGAAUUCCUGGUGUAGCGGUGGAAUGCGCAGAUAUCAGGAGGAACACCAAUGGCGAAGGCAGAUCUCUGGGCCAUAACUGACGCUGAGGAGCGAAAGCAUGGGGAGCGAACAGG